rnacentral:rRNA from 1 species
UACGUAGGGUGCGAGCGUUAAUCGGAAUUACUGGGCGUAAAGGGUGCGCAGGCGGUUAUUUAAGUCAGAUGUGAAAUCCCCGGGCUCAACCUGGGAACUGCGUUUGUGACUGUAUGACUAGAGUACGGUAGAGAGGGGUGGAAUUCCUGGUGUAGCAGUGAAAUGCGUAGAUAUCAGGAGGAACAUCGAUGGCGAAGGCAGCCCCUUGGACCUGUACUGACGCUCAUGCACGAAAGCGUGGGGAGCAAACAGG